rnacentral:rRNA from 1 species
GACGAACGCUGGCGGCGCGCUUAACACAUGCAAGUCGAGCGAGAUGCCCGGAGCUUGCUCCGGGCGGACAGCGGCGAACGGGUGAGUAACACGUGAGGAACCUGCCCCGAAGACCGGGAUAACACCGGGAAACCGGUGCUAAUACCGGAUGCCCUCACCGGACCGCAUGAUCUGGUGAGGAAAUGGAUUCCGCUUCGGGAUGGCCUCGCGGCCUAUCAGCUUGUUGGUGGGGUAACGGCCUACCAAGGCACCAACGGGUAGCUGGUCUGAGAGGAUGUCCAGCAACACUGGGACUGAGACACGACCCAGAGUCCUACGGGAGGGAGCAGUGGGAAGCUUGCGCAAUGGGCGAAAGCCUGACGCAGCGACGCCGGGGGCGGGAUGGCGGCCUUCGGGUUGUAAACCGCUUUCAGCAGGGACGAUGGUGACGGUACCUGCAGAAGAAGCCCCGGCCAACUACGUGCCAGCCGCCGCAGUAACAC